UGAGUAACCUGCCCUUAACUCUGGGAUAAGCCUGGGAAACUGGGUCUAAUACCGGAUAUGACUCCUCAUCGCAUGGUGGGGGGUGGAAAGCUUUUUGUGGUUUUGGAUGGACUCGCGGCCUAUCAGCUUGUUGGUGGGGUAAUGGCCUACCAAGGCGACGACGGGUAGCCGGCCUGAGAGGGCGACCGGCCACACUGGGACUGAGACACGGCCCAGACUCCUACGGGAGGCAG
rnacentral:rRNA from 1 species